rnacentral:rRNA from 1 species
GACGAACGCUGGCGGCGUGCCUAACACAUGCAAGUCGAACGGUAAGGCCCUUCGGGGUACACGAGUGGCGAACGGGUGAGUAACACGUGGGUGAUCUGCCCUGCACUUCGGGAUAAGCCUGGGAAACUGGGUCUAAUACCGGAUAGGACCACUGCCUGCAUGGGUGGUGGUGGAAAGCUUUUGCGGUGUGGGAUGGGCCCGCGGCCUAUCAGCUUGUUGGUGGGGUGAUGGCCUACCAAGGCGACGACGGGGAGCCGGCCUGGGAGGGUGACCGGCCACACUGGGACUGAGAUACGGCCCAGACUCCUACGGGAGGCAGCAGUGGGGAAUAUUGCACAAUGGGCGCAAGCCUGAUGCAGCGACGCCGCGUGAGGGAUGACGGCCUUCGGGUUGUAAACCUCUUUCAGCACCGACGAAGCGCAAGUGACGGUAGGUGCAGAAGAAGGACCGGCCAACUACGUGCCAGCCGCCGCAGUAA